CUUCGACCGCUCCCGCUUUUAAGAUAGUUCUUUCCUCUAGACCAAAGCCAUUUCUGGAAAUCUAAUGGAGAAGAAUGAAUCAAGGCCGCCAUUGAUGGCGUUAAACCAUGUCUCAAGACUUUGCAUAGACGUUAAAAAGUCUCUAGAGUUCUACACAAAAGUGUUGGGAUUCGUGGAGACAGAGCGUCCUGCGUCGCUGGACUUCAGCGGUGCUGUUGGGAUCCAUUUGGUGCAAGUCAAAGACGAAGAAAAGUUGCCCUCUUCAAACACGGACCAUUUGGAAAAGAGGCUCAAGGAAGUGAAUGUCAAGUAGAUGAAGAGACCAGGAAGACGCAGCUAUCGACCAGCUCUUCUUUAAUAACCCGGAUGGUUGGUUUCAUGGUCGAGAUUUGUAACUGCGAGAAUCUCGAGCGCAACUCAGCUGAUGCUAUACAUCUCCCGGGUGAUCGACGUGCACCAUCUGUUGCAAUCCCUGGAAGAUUAGACCGUGAGGAUGCUAAUAGGCUGCCUCAGACCAAUUUUUGAUACUAUCUAGACUCUUUUUUUUUUUCUUGUGUUCCUGUUCUUGUAUUGUGCCAAAACCACUGCUAUAUUAACUACUGUUUUGUAUGGAUGAUCACAAACUCCAUCCAUUC